AGUCUCUAUCCAUCUUGACUGCUUUAUCUAGACGUUCGUGCUCCGCUUGUCCGCCGAGGUAUCCUCCAGCUUUAGGGUUGCAAACGUCGUUUAUUUCAGGGUCACGACCUAGCUUCCUUUUGAGAAGCUUGAACAUCCAGUGCCUUUCGAAUAGAAUCUUAGGGACGCCAGAAAGUAGAAAGCCGCUCCCACGACUCUCUACUUUAGUGACGGCCUUUACACUGGCAACAUCGACUCCGAGAUCAUCGGCAGCCGAUUGGAAGUCUUGCUCAGUUAGAGCCAUUUUUGAUACUCCUGAAUUACAGGGUGGAAGUGAUAGCAAACCAGUUGAACGGGUAAGACCAGUUGCCCCAGUUGCAGCUAACUCUAAACCCGGUGUUGCUCCACAUAUCCGUCAUGAAAGCGCCCGGGCCGAUGGAGUUGUUAAACGUCCCCAUUACGGUCACUUGAACGUUCAAGAUUCGUGCUGGAACAGGGAGUUGGAUAUUCGUCCUUGUGUCAUCAGACAGACCGGGACCAGUUCCCCAUUGUAGCAGAAGGCCGUUUGGUAA
rnacentral:sRNA from 1 species